ensembl:lncRNA MUC20-OT1 MUC20 overlapping transcript
AGGUGCAGAUUGAUGAGUAUGAUCACUCCAAGCCCAUCCAGGGGCAACAGAAGAAGCCCUUUGAGGUGCACUGGAGGAAGCACACCCUGUCCUAUGUGGACGUCGGCACUGGGAAGGUCACUGUGGAAUAUAGACCCAUAAUUGACAAAACUUUGAACGAGGCUGACUGUGCCACUGUCCCCCCAGCCAUUCACUCCUACUGAUGAGACAAGAUGUGGUGAUGACAGAAUCAGCUUUUUGCACAGCCAGAGGACAACACAUCACACACAAGAAACAGUUGUGCUCAUGUGAUGGGGGCCUCAGCACUAGGAAGGAGUGGACUGUUGGCGCACGCAGCAGCUUGAAUAAAUCUGAAAGUCACUACGCUGCGUAAGAGAAGCCAAAUAAAGCGCAUGCUGUGUACAGAGGGUGUCGAGAAUGCCUCCUACGUGACGGAAAGCAGAUCCGUGGUUCCCUGCAGACUGGCAGGAGCAGAUUCCAAAGGCACAGGAAGAAGCUUGCAGGCAGCUGCUCCCAACCCCAGAACCUUUGCUGUCUUGGGACGGAUCACCGCUGCAAGAGGGGAAGUUGCUACUGUGAUGAAUUCUGCCAUGUGGCACCAGACUGCCACCCAGACCACAGUGUCCUCUGCAACCCUGGUAACUCACAUACAGGCCCGAUUCCACCUACAGCAAAGCUGGAUGCGAUGGCUGGCAGAGGCAAACCCUUUGCCUGCACUUCAGGCCAAAGCCGGGAUGUGGCCUAGAUGGUUCCUAAGGUCCCUGACAAUCCUGAGAUCUUGCAUCUUGUCUAUUUCAGGUCAAAGGUGCCUACAUGCUCCUUCUAGCUUUGUUUCCCUGAUGUUCCUUGCCACCUGCUACUCCUCUCUGAGCUA